rnacentral:lncRNA from 1 species
GCUAUGAAGAAAUACCCAAGACUGGGUACUUUCUCAACUUUCAAAUUGAGCUGUUCAGAAUGUGUGAAACAAUUUUAAGAUGAAGUCAAAGAUACUUGAAGCAGAAGCUGUAUCUGAGGAAGCUGUAUAUAAACCCAAUUUAAAGCAAGUUUAACCUGCUGAUUGGGAAGAAUUUUUAUGAAAAGCUGUGUGCUUCCUGAUAAGAAAAAAGGCUUUCCUGUUUCGAUCAAACCAGAACCAGAUGAGAACUCAGCACAGGCACUGCAGCCACGGAGGUUUCCAGAUAGAAAAAUUGACACCCCUGAGAUCCCAUAACAUUUUGGGGACUCAUCUGGGAUCUGCGGAAGGAGCUUGACUCUUUUCAUUGGCAAUAAAUGGCGCCCCAACAUGGGGACUCAGAGAAGACUCAGGAGCCCCAAGCAGUUGUCCGAAAUCAGAGCUAAGGUACCAGCCAGGGUUAAUUGAAGACUCACCAAGUUCAAGCUUCUCCUUUGGUGGAACUGUCUCCCUGGCUUGAAAUCAUUGCACCAGAAGAGGCACUGGGACACAGAGCUGAGAUUGAAGAACACUUGAAAAUUAUCAAGAAUGUACUGCGGAGUAUUGAAAUUGCAAGUUAUCAUCAAAGGAAGCUGAAUCAUACCUUCCCUGUUUCAAAUAACAAGCAUCAAGCAUCGUGAUAAUGUGGACACUAAGGAGCAACAAUUUCUCUAAAGAUAAGAAUAAAGAUAGACUUUUAGACUACGAGAUGGGCCUGAAAAAAUAUCUGAUCAAGCUACUCAGUUUUACAGAUGAAGAAGGUGAAGCCUGGGAAAACCUAAAGAACCUAUAUAAGGUUCUCAGAUAGACACCAUGUUAUCUGCUUGAAUGAAGAAAAUUUGGUAACAUGUUUGCUGAUCUUAAUCUACUAUACAUUUUUUUAGCUUGUCAACUUGAACAAGUUUCUCAAUUAUUUCCUCAUCUAUUUUUUCUGAUAAACUUAACCAAAUCUUGUAAAAUGAAUGUUUUGAAAACGUAUAUCUUA